rnacentral:rRNA from 1 species
AUUGAACGCUGGCGGCAGGCUUAACACAUGCAAGUCGAGCGAGAGGCGGACGGGUGAGUAAUGUCUGGGAAACUGCCUGAUGGAGGGGGAUUAGUACUGGCAACGGUAGCUAAUACCGCAUACCAUCAGAUGUGCCCAGCUGGGAUUGGCUAGUAGGUGGGGUACUGGCUCACCUAGGCGACGAUCCCUAGCUGGUCUGAGAGUAUGACCAGCCACACUGGAACUGAGACACGGGCCAGACUCCUACGUGAGGCAGCAGUGGGGAGUAUUACGCGAUGGGCGAGAGCCUGAUGCGGCCAUGCGGCGUGUAUGAAGAAGGCCUGCGGGUUGUAAAGCGCUUUAGGCGAGGAGGCGUUACUCGCAGAAGAAGCACCGGCUAACUCCGUGCCAGCAGCCGCGGUAAUAC